GGAUAAUGCGUUCCUCCUUGAUGUAGCCAAUAUAAGUUGAGAAACAUCACUUUCUAAUUUCCUCCUGUUCCUCUCAACUUUUUCUUUUAUUGAAACAAUUCUCUCUGCUUGAAUUUGCUUUUUAAGCUGAUUCAUCUUAUAUGGCAAGUUUCCAAUACCCUCAUUUGACUGUUCCCCAUGGGAUUUUUUGAGCUUGGAAGCAGAGUCGCUUGAUUUCGAUCCCAUAGCUAA
rnacentral:misc_RNA from 1 species